rnacentral:rRNA from 1 species
GAUCAUGGCUCAGGAUGAACGCUAGCGACAGGCCUAACACAUGCAAGUCGAGGGGCAGCGGAGAGGUAGCAANACCUUUGCCGGCGACCGGCGCACGGGUGAGUAACACGUAUGCAAUCCACCUGUAACAGGGGGAUAACCCGGAGAAAUCCGGACUAAUACCCCAUAAUAUGGGCGCUCCGCAUGGAGAGCCCAUUAAAGAGAGCAAUUUUGGUUACAGACGAGCAUGCGCUCCA